rnacentral:lncRNA from 1 species
UCCUCCAUCCAUGGCCAGUAUCAACAAUGGACUUUGCCAUCAGAAACGUGCACGAUUACCUCCUUCCAAUCAAAAUGAAAACCAGAAUCCAGUGGAUUACAUCAGCCAAUUGCCCAAUGACAUAAUCGCUCAUAUUUUCUCCUUCUUGACUACAAAAGAUGCCGUCAAAACUAGCGUCUUGUCCAAGCAAUGGCGUUCCACUUGGACCUCUAAUCAGUACAUGAGUUUCUCUCUGCCCCCUGGCAGUAGCUGGAAUCCCAAGAGCUUCAUCGCUUUUGUUGACUCAGUGCUGUUACGCUGCACUGCAAUUCAGGUGAAAAGAUUUCUCUUUGAUGCUCCUUACCUUGCCUUCAUGCAGUCAAGUCUUGAUACGUGGCUCCAGUUUGCCAUCAUGCAUGACGUUGAAGAGGUAUCGAUAACCCCACAUUAUUGGCAUUACAACAUUUAUGCGUUGCCGCAAAUCUUGUUCCUCUGCACCACACUAGUGAGUUUGUGCGUGUCCCAAUGCUGUUUUUCGGUGUUCAGUGCCGUGAAUUGGUGUUCGCUGAAGAUAUUGCGCAUUGAAUAUGCGGAGUUAAACGAUGAGGGAAUGGUGAGAGUUUUUAGUGGCAGCCCUGUUCUAGAGUUCCUUGAGUUGAAAAGUUGCCAGGGCGUCAAGCACAUAAUGGUUGAAUCAAAAAGUUUUAGAGAGUUGGUGAUUGAUUCUCAUGAGUUUCGUCCUGGUCAAGGUUUGAUGUUGAAAAUUUGGGCUCCUCGUCUUCUCAAAUUGCGCCUAUUGGGCAAUUCUCAAGGGGGAGACUUUAGUCUAGAUGAAGUAUCUUCCUUGAUUGAGGCCGAGUUAAAUUUUAACAUGGAAAUUUGUGCACUCGAUAAGGUUAAGGCUCGUGCCGAUCUUGUCAAGGGGCUUCUCAAGAGACUGCAUCAUGUCAUGAAAUUAGUGAUGGGAAGCUGGUGCCUUCAGGUGCGAGCCGAUUCUUUAGCCCUAUUAUUCCUGGUUCAAGUUGCGGACGUGCAUUACACAUUCUGCCAUUUGCUUAGGAUAAAUCGUGAGAUUGUUUAUUGGUGCUUGAUGAUACCAUGCUCAUAAAUUGUUAUUUCAGAGAAACUUUUUCACCUUAUCAACGGGAUGUUUGCUGGAUGAGGCUUUUUUCCUUUUCAUAAAAGAACUUUACACACCUAAGCUGAUAUCACCUUUAUGGGUCCAGCAUUAUAUUGACUUUGAUAAGACUAAAAUCUGAUAUCCUUGUUUGCUCAUUCGUUUGGUCUGUUGGCUAUUGUGAGAGGUUUUUGGAAUUGCAAGCAUGUCUUACGUUUAAUCUUCUUUAGUGCUUAAAGAAAGUAAAGUGAUCAGUUUCUGCUUCUUCCACCACGAUGAUGUGCUUAGGCGCUGUCGCUAAUGGGGGCGAGAGAUAUGUUUCUUCCAUCCUUAGAAUGUCGGCAUCUGAUAUUACUCAGCACAGCAGGCCAUAAGAGAGUUCCGGAGGCUAUAGCAAAAAUACUUGAAAGUACGCGGCUUUUGGAGAAGUUAUUCAUACAAAUGACUUGCACACCCAAUUCUGCGGUACACGACUGCUAGAACCCUCUCAGUUCACUGGGUUAAUUUAACACCAGAUUUGCUUGAACAUAUACAGAUUGUGAAUUUUAGCCUUGGGCUGCAUAUAAACCUGUCAUUUCUUUUCUUCUUGUGAUUGAAAAUCAUUUUUGUACCUGUCUAUUUAAUUGACAUUUUGGAUUCUCAAUAGAUUUAUAUUUCUCUUGGUGUUGUAAAUGCUAUAUUAUACUCUCAGAGCUCGAUAUUUGUCUCAUCUAGUUCCAAAUGUGUAUCUCCUCAUUAGUCAUGAUGUUGUACAUCUGCAGAUUGGGUUGAAGGCGGAGAGGGCAGGCUGUCGCGUCUUUGCUGGAGAAGAAUUUUGGAAUUUGGUAAAGUGGAGGAUCUAUCAGUGUUUGAUGCAUCUCAGGCAUGUUGAGAUUGUUGAUGGCGGUGCCAGUCUGCUGGCAUGGGAACCUGUUCUUUCUCUCCUCAAGUUUCUCCUCCAGAAUGCACUUUGGCUGGACAAAAUAGUGAUCAACAGUACCAAUUCCAAAUCAUCCCAAGCAUUUGAACCAUCACCCCAGCUUGAAGUGGGCCGGAUUCUUCUGUCGCACCCAAAGUGUUCUCCAAGCGCCAAGGUCAUUCUUAGAUAUCCUUUCCAAGGAUGUCCGUCUGUGUAAAUCCUGAUCAUUUCGUCAACACCGGUGACUUCUUUUUCUCCUUUUUGUACCCCUGAAUUUUAGCUUGACAUUUUCAGGAGAUGUAAUUGUAUGUACCUGUCGCAAAUUAACCGAUUCGUUCUGACGUGUCGUUCUUCUUUUCUUUUUGUGGUGGUAGAACUUUCAGUCCUCUUACUGGGAGAAAGCAUGCUAUAUAAAGCUGAUAUUGCAUAGCAUGCUUGCGUGGUGUCAUCAAUGAACUGAAUAUCCUUAUUUAGUUUACUUUCGAAGAUAAUGAAGGGAAAAUUACCAAAAAUGUUCUAACUCUAUAGAACUUGUGUCAAUUUAGUAAUAAACUUUUUAAUUUGGCCAAUUUAGUUAUAAAACUAUUAAAAAAUUUGUCAAUAUAGUCCAUCCGGUCAAUUUUGACAAGAAAUUAUUGGUAUUGAUAUAGCACGGCUUGCAUUUACGUGAACAAAUCUUUUAAUAUUUUUUUGAAUUUUUAAUUAAUUUUAAUAUAAUUUUAUAAAUAUAUAUAUUUAUUUUUUCUUUUUCUUUUUCCUUCUUCCUCUGCCAAUCAUUGGACUUUGACAUUGGCUGGCAACCGGGCACAAGUGACUGGUGAGGGUCACCCUUAUCGGUCUCAAGCAACAUCGCCUAGAUGGGUGCUGCUUGGAAGUGACCUGGAUUCUUCUAUCAUACCCAAAGUGUUCUCCAAGCAUGAAGGCCAUUCUUAGGUAUCUGUUCCAAGGAUGUUCGUUUAAACGUGUGCAUAAGUACUGAUGUUUUCAUUAACCCCUGAGUUUUGGCUUAACAUCCACGGGACAUGUGAUUGAAUGCGUUAGAAAUAUUUAGGUAUCUCCCAUAGAUACUUUGGAUGUUUCUUAUGAUUUUCCAUAUCUAUUUUGGUGUCAAAAUUUAUAGAAAUUCUAACUUGGUAUCAAAAGCAAGGCAGUGCUAUUCCACUUAUGAUUUUCCAUAUCUAUUUUGGUGUCAAAAUUUAUAGAAAUUCUAACUUGGUAUCAAAAGCAAGGCAGUGCUAUUCCUUUCGUGGAAUGUGCAUCACCCCCAUUAGUCAAAAUUCCACGCCAAGCGAAGAUACUUGAAAUAAAAACUCCCUUUCUGUUUGUUCAACUAGAAACUUUUAGCUCAGCUUAAUAUUAUUUCAUGAAGUUACAACAAGUCAGUCUCGAAAAGCAGCUAGUAAGGUUGAUUACCUAAAUGAACAGCAGAGGUUCACAAACCCUCACUCUUGCCUUGUACCAACAUUCCAAAAGUUUUAUGAAGCACAUUAUCCUUUGAAAAAUACUCUCUGUGUGCACUGAACUAGAAGAAGCCACAAUCUCACUCAAAGAUUCAUGGAAGUACAAGAGUUGGAUUAUGGUUGUAGGAUUUAUCUGUCAUAAAAGAACAAGUUUGUUGGUAAAAGGUUGUGAUUAAGUUACUAACAUUUUUCUACCAAAAAAAAAAAUACUAAUUUUUAUUUGAUUAUUUCUGAAUUUUCAACUUCUGCAAUAAGUUAUCAAAAUUUAUUUACAUAAUUUGCAGUUUUAGAGUUAUAUCUCCACUAUGGUAUCGAAUUUCCAAUUCUAAUUUGACAGAUUUACCAACCAUCCCCAUUCGAGUUACCAAAUAAUUUGAAGAUACCAAAUCUUAUUGGAUUGACUUAUCAAUAUUUUUGUGGUUGUUUUCAAAUUAUUAACUUUUAAUUUAGUAGCUUAUUAUGUUUUAAAUUAACAAAUUCUUACAUAAAAUUAUAAACCAUAAUUUCAGUAACUCACAAACUUAACCCAAAUUUGAGUGACAUGCAAACUUUUUUUUGGCGAUUGAUUUCCAUUUAUGUUUGAGUGACUUAUUGAUAUUUACUUGGUUGUGCCGACAAAAGCGCAUUAUUAUAUUGUUUUAAAAUUUCAAACAUUUAUUUGCGUAAAUAUUUAACAACGAUUUAGAGGUACAAACUCUUAUAUCAAACUACUAACUUUGAUACCAAAUUAAUGGCCUUAAUUUGAAUAAUUAACCGACUUUUAUACGAUUGCUUUACCUUCACUUUGUAUUAUUCUUCGUAACCUUUACUUCAUUGUUUCCAAAUUACCAAAUUUUAUCUCCAAUAGAUACUAACAUUUUCAAGCUAAAGUUUUUAUCGAAUUACCAAUCUUAAUUUAACUGACUUGCCAAUUUUUUUCUAAUAAGUUACCAACUAGUUUAAGGUUAUUAACCUCUAUCUGUUUGAUUUAUCUAAGUUUUUUCGAUUAUCUUUAUAAUAAAUAAGAAUGCAUUUACCCACCCCGUUGGUGGCAGAGAUGGUGGAGUUGCAUGCUGGCCACCCGCAAGGCUAGAGUUCAACUCCCCACCUCAUCAUUUGUGCGACUUACCUAUGGCCGUGGGAGGUGGGUCCCUGCGGGUCGCCCCGGGUUUACGCCGCCCACCGCUAGCUAUCGGCUAUACAACCCUUCCUGGGUCACAAAAAAAUAAAAAUAAAUAAGAAUGCAUUUGAUUGUUUCAAAAUUAUUUCAUAAUAAGUAACUUAUCUAUUUGCAUAACUUACUAAUGUUUUGAAUUUAACAACUCUUAUAUCAAAUUGCCAACCUUAAUUUUAGCGGUUUAAGAGGAUUUUCUCAAUUAUUUAUUACUAGAUUUAGGUUGUCAAUUUUUUAUUUUUUUUUUGUUGGUCAAUUCUUAUUUGAGUAACCUAUCAAUAUUUAUUAUGAUGUUCUGACAAAGAGAAAAAGGAAAAAUGAAGUAUAUGAUUCCGACUCUUGUGAUAUCAAUAUUUAUUAUGAUGUUCUUAUUUGAGUAACUUUUAUAUGUAUAAACAAAAAAAUGAGUCCUACCUUGUGGUAUCUAUGAACCUAUAACUUCUUGGGAAGAGAUAGAUGUAUAUGAUCAUCUCAAUGUUUUGCAAAUUUGAUCAUUUUAUUUAGGGGAUAGCUACAGGAUUAUUGUACGAAGGAAUUUGGUUGCGGGAUUAAUUUCUGCUUGCCCUAGCAAUGAGUAUUUCCUCGAAGCCUGGCUAAUAAGACUUAAUCUCACUGGCUAUCUUUUCAAAGCUUUGAUGUUAAUUAGCGUUAGAUGAGAGAAAGAGCACACAUUUUGCGCAUUAAAAGAAUGUAAAAAGCAAAUGAAAUGUGUCUAAUAGAAACAUAAUUAUAAAAUAAUUUCGUCAGUUUACAAAAAUAAUCUUAAAUUAUUCUAUGAUUAGAAAGAUUCAUAUUCUAAUUUAAAAAUAUUAAAGAUUGAAGAAAUUAUCUUGCUUUAAUCGUAUUUUACAUUUGGAUGGCGAUUUGGACAUCAUUCGGUAUUGAGUGAUUGUGAUUUAUCUUUACAACCUACAUGGGUUUUCAUGGAAUAUACUUUUGUUUGGAAACGGCCUUUGAUUUGCUUAAUACUAUGCAAAGAUAACCAGAAAGAGCACACUCUUAUGCAUGUUGAAAAUGACAAGGGAAUUCAUAAAUUUUUUGGGGAGAAAGAGAGUUUUAAGAUGCAAACUAAUUUAGCAGAGAACAUAUGUCUUUAUUUUUGAUUUAUUCUAUCUUUUUUUUAUUGGUUAAAGAGAAUUUGUUGAAAUAAAAAAUUAUUUCAUGUAUAUUUGAAGACAGUUUCUCUAAUUUAUCCAUUUUUCCAAUUUUAAACUCAAGAAAAAACAAAUUUUCUAUAAACUGUUGCUUUAUCCACGUUCUGACAUUUAAAUUAAAGAUAAAAGUUAAGAGAUGAUAAAUAAAUAAGCUAAAAAGCUUACUAGUCAAAUUCGGGCCACAUGGCAAAAUAAUGUCAUGUGUCUUGCCAUGUGGCAAAUGUAGAUGAAAAAAGUUGUGUCACAUGACGAUCACGAAGGCGAGAAUUCUCUCGGCUCUGGCCUUAAUUAUAUAUAAUAGGAGAGGAUUUCGCCUCUUAAUCAAUAUUACAAGAUUGUAAUGCACCAAAGGAUAUUUUAUGGCAUUUAAUGGUAAAAUUUUGAUAUUGAAGUCCUCCUUUGCAUUCAUUUUUUAUUAUAUAGAGAUAAUUGCAUAUGUUAUUAUAUAAUAUAAACAGGGUUAGAAGUGUUUGGACCUAGGGAAAAUUGUCCAAAAAGUUCUAAAUCUAUUGAAUUUUUAUCAAUUCAGUCAUAAACCUUUUAACUUUACCAAUCCAGUCAUAAAUCUUUUCAUUUCUUGCCGAUUCGGCUAGCCAAUUUUGACCAGAAAAUACUGACGUGAACAAUUUUUAAUAAUAUUUUAAUAUUUUUUUGAAUUAUUAUUAUUUUUUCUGUUUUUUCCUUCUUCUUUUUUUUCUUUUCUUGGCCUUUAAAAAUUGUCAAUGUCAACGCCGACAAUCCCACUUGGUACGGCUGGUGCCACAUCAACAUUUUUCGGCCAAAAUUGGCCGUAUAGACUGAAUCGGCAAGAACUGCAAAUGUUUAGGAUUAAAUUGACAAAGUUAAAGGAUUUAUAAUUAAAUUGACAAAAGUAUAAUCGAUUUAUAACUUUUUGGACAAUUUUUCCGUGGACCCAUUACAUAUUGCUCAGUCUAGUUCAACCUUUGGAAUAUAUGCUUUGCAUUUUUAUGCUCUUGUUGGCUCGAUGCAUAUUUUCAAAUUGAAUAGAAAUUUGAAAGAUCUCCGUGUAGUAAAAUAAAAAAGAGAAAUCAUUUUGAUUUGAGGCAAAUCCCUUUUCAAUUUGCCUUAUAAAGUCGUCAUUUAACCCAAAUUUAUUGAAAUGAUUCAUGGGCCACCUCAUUUUUAGCCGGCCUAGCAUAAUGGGUUUUAAAAUGAAAAGCCCAAAACAAAUCAAUUUUUUUUUUUUGUCUAUAAAAUGAAUCAAUUUAAAUGGGUAUAUUAUGAAUCCAACUCACCUUAUAAACAAGGCUCUCUUCAUUCUUCAUAAGAACUUCUACAUUCUUCUAGACCUGACUCUUUUGUCUGUCUCCCACUUCGGUUCCACAGAUUUAACUUGGUAGUGGUCGUGACAUUAAAAUUAAGGAUUAAUAUCAUAAAAAUCUAAAAUUGAUACAUAAGUCAUAAAUUUAUCUCAAAUUAAAUUUUAAUUAUCAAAAAUUCUAAAUUGAUACAUUUAUAACAUAGUUACCCUCAAUUAAUUUUUAUUAAAUUGAAUUAAUAUCACGAAAAAUCACAAAUUUAUAUAUAUGUGACGAAUAUAAAUUAAAAAUCUCAAAUCAAUAUACCUGUCAAUUAUUACGUAUCAUCGAAUUCAGCAAUUUAAUGAUAAAAUUUAAUAAAAAUUAAUUAAAAGUAAAUUUGUCGCGGUGUAUCAGUUUAAGGUUUGUAAUAGUAUUAACCUUUAUAAUUAAUUUUAUAUUUAUUUUAUUAAGAUAGAAUCGGGCCCAGUUCGUGACCGAUCCAUCUCGUCACCCUACCCGAUAGCACGAACAGGGCGACAAAGCAUCGACGACGGGAAGCCUGCUUCUCUUUCUUCCUCUGCUUUGCUCUGCUUUUUGUAUCCAGUCAUCGACCACCUUGCUAGCUUCUAACGUUGAACAGGUGGUUUGUCUUGCCCAAUCUUCUCAGCUUGCGUCUCUCUCUCUCUCUCUUCCCAUCGCUAUUCGGCCGAAUUAUCGACUGUCUCUUCUGGGUUUUCGAGGUGCUUUUGUGGGGACGUGGGAGGAUCUGUGGGCUUGGGUUCUUGAAGUCGGCGUUAGUUGUAUUGAGGGGGGCGGGGCGGGUGGGCGUGUGCUGAUCGGUACUUAUUGCUUGUGUUAAGUCCCGUGCGGCAGUGGGUUGUUGAGGUUUCUGAGGAGUCGAUACGAUGGAUGGCGCUGGAGCUGUGCUUGACAUGGACGAUUGGAGGGCUCAACUGCCGCCCCAGGCACGGCCGAGGAUUCUCAACAAGAUGUGAGUGCUCUUUCCUUUGCUUGGGUUUCAUCGUUAUCGUAGGGAAAAUGUGGAAUUUAUGAUGGAUCAUUGCUUAGGGACGAUUGCCGAGGGUUUAGUAUGUUAAAGUAAUGGUUUUACAAUAUGGUCAUGUUAUUAGUUGAGGCGCAACAUGAAUUCUGAGGUAGCUUUCGCUGUAAUUUUUUUCUCUUAGGAUAGUUUAGUUAAGUCUCAAUAUGGGAUUUAGCGGGUAUGCAGGCCGGUAGCUCUUGUUACAUUGGUGAUUAUAUAAGAUAAGAAGAUGGUUGUAUUUCUUUCUUGAUUGAAAUGGAUUAUCUCCUAUUUUUGUACACAAGCAGGAGGGUUUACCAUAGUAUGUAGAUUAUCAUAGUCGCAGAGGUAAGGGCAUCUGCCUUUCUGGCAGGAGAACAGUUACUGGAUGAUUGGCCUAUUAUGUUUGUGACAGAAAUCUACUCAUCCAGAGCCUAAGGAUUUUUAAGCAUCUUAUUGCUAGUUAGUUGUGUUAUUCUCUAUUAAUCUGGAAUUUGUUUUUCCCCUUUCCAAUUCAAUAGCAUCGCUAUAGUCGUUGUAGGGGUUGAAGGUCCAAAAGUUUUCCACAGAAAACUUAAUCUUCACCUACCUUGAGGUGCAUUGCUUGAACUCCCACCCAUACCACUUGUAAUAGGAGGAGAUGCUGUCGAUGCAUGUGGGUUAGGUAUUGCCAAAAUUAAAUAGGUUUGUGAAUUCUUGAAUGUGUUGUUCUGAAUCAUUUCUCAGUUUGCUUUCUCGUCUGGGAGAAAGCUAUUUGUAAUUUGUUGAACAAUAUGCAACUUGCGCCGGAUUCUUUUAUCUAUUAUCCAUUGGAUUUUAUGACUGUUAGGAUUACGUAAUUUCAGAUCUGUUAUACACUGGAUUUUGUGACCAUCUCUGGCAAACCAUUUCUUCUGAACUUUCAUCCUUUUCUUACCCACUCUCAACUCCUGGCCCUCUUCCAGCCCUUGACCUCUCUGUUUUCCAGCUCUGGCGAGCUCCCUAACCUCCAUUGACCACCCUGAACUCUGGCGAGCCAUUGAUGACGGCCCCCAUUGGCUAUAUAGGCUCUUUUCCUCUUCUUUUAUAUUGUUGUUUGCUUUCUCUGAGAUGUUGAAGACUUUUCCUCUCAUCUUCUUUGCUGCGUGCGAUUGUUGAAGCUGGUUUUGUUGUGAGAGACCUACAAGGUAAAAGGGCUUUUUAUGGAACGAAAAUCUUUUGAGCUUGUGUUAGAGGUGGAAAAGGAGGACUUGUUAAGAGUGACGGAGUAUGCCAGAUGGAGGAGAUUGUCGAUAUACCUCUAUAUUGAGGACUUGAAAUGGUGGAUGGAUUACCAUGCACUUGUAGAACCUGGUAAAACAGGCAUAUGGGGAAUUAGAUGUCGUAGUUGGAAGAAGUACCAACCUUCCAAACAUGUGGUGGCAUUGUAGUGAUGUAGAAUGAGAAAUCAGGCAACUUAGUAGAUUGCUUAGUGGACAAAUUUAGUGUCUCGUGCCUGUUUUGUGGUGCAGAAGUGGGGAAGAGUGGGUGUUUACUGGGGUGUAUGGUCCUGGAGUGGGUAGCACUAGGGGUUCUUUCGGGGAUUAGCUCUCUGAUAUUAAAAGUAAAUGGGGAGUGCGGGGAGAGUUCAACGUGGUAUUGUUUCCACAUGAACCGGAUGGGAUUGGUACUGAAAUAGCUUGCAUGAGGGAAUUUUGGCAGAUCUUAGACACCUUUUGCCUGAUUGGCUUGUUGUUGGUAGGUUGGGAGUAUACUUGGUCCAGGGACUGGGAGAGGCUAUCCUUUUCACGCUUUGAUGGGUUCUCAGUUUCAACAACACGGGAGGAUAUCACCCAAACUCAAGUCAAAAGUUACCUCAAGUGACCUCAGACCACCAUAUAAUUGUGUUAGAGAAUAGAGUUAUUGAAUGGGCCCCCACUCCUUUCCAGUUUGAGAGUGUUUGGCUCAAACUAGAAGAUUUCAAGUAGGUAGUUAUCAGUUACUGGAAGAAUAGUUCUUUCAGGGUGUAGGACAGCUUCACUUUUGCUUCAAAGCUCAUGGGGCUAAGAUAUAUUCUGAAACAUGAAGUCAUGAGAAGGUUGGAAAUAUGGGAAACAAUAUGAAAGAGACAAUUCAAGAAGUUGAAGAGCUUAAGGAUAAGGAGAUCCAAAUGACUUUAAUAGAGGAAGAGCAUUUUAGGAGAAUGGAAUUUAAAGAGCUCUUGCGUUGUUGAUUCAAAUGGAAGAGACCUCCUGGAGACAUAUCUCUUGGGAGAUUUAGCUUGAUGAUGAUGAGAGAAACACAAAGUCCUUUGAAAGAUGGCCAAUGCUCAUUGAAGAUAUAACUUCCUCAGUAAGUUGGAAGUUUUUGGGAUGGCUGUUGAAAUGUAAACGCCAUAGUGUGUGGUUAUCUAGAAUUCUAUGCUGAUUCAUUCAGGGAGAGAUGUUUUGAGAGACCGGAAAUGGAGGCUUCUCUUGAUCCCAAUAUGGUUGAGAUGCUGCAAAUGCCUUUCCAGGGGGAAGAGAUUAGAAGGGUAAUCGUGGAGUGUAAUGGAGAUAAGGCACUAGGUCCUGAUAAAUUUACGUUUAAAUUUUUCGCGAGAAUUGGAGAUUGUUAGCAAUGACCUUCUAAAGGUGUUCCAGAGUAGGGGGCAAGUUUGUAGAUAAUCUUGAUUGUACAUUCUAAAUUCUCAUUCCUAAGGAGCCUGGUGCGACGGAUGUUAAGGAUUUUCAGCCUAUAAGCUUGGUCGGUAGCAUCUUUAAGAUUUUUGCCAUAGUUCUUGCUGGUCAUUUGAAAAGGUUCUAGCUCACCUGGUGGGAUCUUUUCAAGACAGUUUUGUGGAAGCUCGUCAAACAUUGGAUGCUAUUCUUACUGCCAAUGGUCUGGAGGAAGGAAAAGCAGGAGUGCUUUGCAAAUUGGACAUGGAGGAGGCCUAUGAUCAGGGAUCAGGGGAGUAAUGUAUGUGUAAAGAAGAAUGUAUUUCUUCUUUUGUUGUUUGUGUUGGUGACCAAUGGUGGAGAUGGAUUUCGAAAUGCAUUUCUUCACUGAUUUUCCUGCUUAUGGUGAAUGGCAGUCCAAGAGGUCUCUUCAAGUAUUCUAGAGAUUUAAGGCAGUCCUCUGUUACUUUUGUUGUUUGUAUUGGUUUUUAAAGUGUUGAGCAAGAUGCUGAUUAAAGUUAUUGACGAAGGUUAGAUUGGUGGUUUCACGAUUGACAAUGCUUGUAAUGAAGAUUCCAUGUUUCUUUUUUCAUUUGCGGAUGACGUCAUAUUUUUCUUGAAGGACGACAUCAAACAAAUUUUACACUUAGAAGCAUACUGUUAUGUUUUGAAGCUGUCUCAGGACUGAAAGUGAAUUUGGGAAAAGAAUGAAAUAAUCCUGUGGGCGAGAAUGUAAAUUUGCAAGAAAUGUCUGGGAGUAGUGGUUAUAAGUUUGCCAGCAUACCUAUGGAGUACUAGGGUUGCAGUUGGGAUGCACUUACAAAGCAAAAGCUGCGUGUAAUCUGAUGAUACAAAGAUUUGAGAAGAGUUUAAGUAGGUGGAUGAUGGCUUUUUUGUCCAUGGGAUGUAGACUUAUGUAGAUGAAGCAUGCACUUUUUAAUCUUCUGGUUUACUUUAUUUCUUUGUUUCCAAUCCCUAUUUCAGUGGGAAAAAGACUCGAGAGCAUGCAAAAAAAGUUUCUUCAGGGAUAUUGGGAUGAUAAUCCGGGAUUUCAUUUAGUUGAUAGGGGUAUUGUAACACAAGCUGUUUCUAAUGGGGGAGUUGGGGGUAAAGUCAUUGGUUCUUGUAUGUAAAGCUUUGCUUCGACAAUGAUUGUGGAGAUUUAAUGGGGAGAAAACUAGCCCUUGGAGGAUGGCACUAGUUGCAAAAUUUGGUUUGGAAGAUUCAGAGUGGAUAAGAAAGCCUAGUCGAGGAGCGCAAGGGGUUGGGCUAUGGAAGCACAUUAGGUAAGGAUGGGAUUCUUUCAAAUAAAGACUUUCUAUUAGAAUGGGAAAUGGUAGGCAUACUAUGUUGCAUGAUGACAUCUGGUAUGGAGACACUGCUUUCAAAGACUUCUUCCUGGAUGCAUGUGCACUAGCAAGAAACUAGAUGGUUAGGGUGGCCGAUUGUUGAAAGACUGACAAUGGAGAAACAAUGUGGUAAAGUAAUAUCUUACGUAGGGCUCAAGAUUAGAAGCCCAAAGCUUCUCAAUUUUUUUUGAGUUGUUGUAUCGAGCAAUGUUAGAUGUGAGGACGAUAAGCUACGGUGGAAUUGUUGUACCUCUGGAACUUUUUCUGUCAAAUCCUACUAUUCCGAUCUCUCUUCUUGCAAUUACAACAGAGCACACUCUUCCUAUGGAAAUGUAUUUGGAAAGUCAUGGUUCCUUUGAAGGUUUCAUUUUUUGCUUGGCAAGCUGCUUGGGGAUGUAUUCUUACUUCAGAUAAUCUCUAGAAGAGAGGAAAAAUACUGGCCAAUAGGUUCUUUUUGUGCAAGACUGAAGAGAGAGCAUGAACCGCUUACUUUUAUGUUGGAGCUGGACCAGAAAGAUUAGGGCUACAGUUUUUGCAAUUUUAGGAGUAAAUUGAUUGACCUUGGGCACAGUGUGACAUUAACUUUGGGCUUGGAGAGGGACUUUCAGUUUGUGUGUCGGAAAGAAACAGAUUGCUAAGAUGAUUCCUCUUGUCUUUUGGCUCAUUUCUUCACUUUUGGUAUAGUAGGAAAGUUCAAUUUCAUACAUUUAGUUUGUUGGAAAUGCUACAAAGUCUUCUGUGCAUUAUUUUGUAUGUGGUUUGGCUUCUAUUAUAAGCCAUUUUGUAGGGGAAGUACCCCCUCGGUACUUCUUGAUGAAAUCUUAUUUAUCUUUGAGAAAAAAAAUUAUUGGCCAGAAAUAAUUUCAGCUGAAGUGCAAGUCUCUUUUGGUACGCAGAUUGGAGACUUUGCUGAGACAUCAUCCUGUUUCUAAUCGAGAAGGUUUGCAAGAACUCAAUAAAAUUGCCUUGAGGAUUGAGGGAAAUUUUUACACUGCUGCAACAAGCCAGGUAUUAUUUGAUGUCCAUGUCCACUACGUGCAUCUCAUUCUCUUUGCUCUUGUCUUUAAUUGCUUUUUAUGAAGUGGCUCUUGGAGCUAGUGCUUGCUUAUUUUGUGUGAAGUUUCUAUGUGGAUAGAGGAUGCAUAAACAAACUGGAUACGCUUUUGCUUAAAAAUCUUUUAGAAGCUUUUUUUUAUUCUUAUAAUCUGUCAAGAAUUUCUAUGAUUUGUGCAUUUAUAUGGUAACUGGAACUGUUUAAAUAUUAAAAUAUAGCUUUGCACCAGUGAGAUCAGGUUUGCUCAGUGCUGUGAUAUUGUACUUAAGUUUUAAGUUGCAGUUUUAAAUUGAUAUCUGCUUCAUUUUCUUUCUAAUUUGAUUAUUUAAUUUGUUUGGUCUGUUAUGAAGUAAUUUAAUGAUUUCUGCUUCCUUUCCCUUUUAGUCCGAUUAUUUAAGGAAGAUAUCUUUGAAGAUGUUGACAAUGGAGACAAAGGCUCAGAAUACCAGACCUUAUGCGCUGCCAUCUAACACUGCUGGGAAUAGCUGUGAGGACUCGGGUACAACUUGAGUCCCUGUUACUUGAUACCAUUGAUGUAGGAGUUAAAAUUUCCGUUUUGUUAUCCCUUUAUAUAUUUACAGAUAUGUAUCAUUCUUCUUACACGUAUUUUCAUUUAUGUACUACUAUUUUCCUUUUUUGGUAUAUUGUUUUUGGGGGACUACAGCAGGAGUCCUAAAAUUUUUGACAGUCGUCCACUUUUGCUCAUUAGUUAGCUCUUUUAGGUUUUAGUUGACGGAAAAUCUACGUGGCAUUUUACCGAAAAAAAAAAAAAAAAUCUACGUGGCAUUUUUUUUUUAUUAACAGCCACGUUGGAUUAAAAGAUAAUAAAAGAAGUCAUGUGGUAUCUUCCGUCCCCUAAAAAUUGACGAGUGAACGAAAUGACUCAAGUGCAUUGACUGUUCAAAAUUUGUUUUGACUUAAAUGCAUGAAUAGAAAGUUUUAGGAGUUCAAGCACAUUAGCAUGACAAAAAUAGGAAUUGGCCCUGGAAUUGUCCUUUUUUGGGGCUUUACAUAGUACACAUUUGUAUACCCACUACAACAGGUUGGGGGGAUUUCGAUUUUCUACCCUGAAGUCAAUUUCUUUUUCCAAUCUUCCUUAUUUGUAACCUCAAAUGCACAUUUAUACCAUGUGCAGUGGCACAUUUGAAUUUCUUUGUUUCAUUUGGAACCUAUUGAUUUAAAAAUGGGUAGAUCUUUGUUUUUUUUUUUCUUCAAUCAGAUAUGCAUUUGUGAAGUUCAAGUUUUUCUAAGCGUGGUAGCAAGCUUCAGUUUAGCUAGAAAGGGCCAUAUGUUUGCAUCUUUUGUAACUUCCUCCCACUUCUUUGUCUCAAAUUUUCUUUUUUAGAAGUGACUGUCUCUGAUGGCCUUGGAGGAUGCAUGCUUGCCAAAGAUGAUUCACUUUUCUCUUUAUGUUUUUGUUUUCUUUAAUAUUUCAAGAUUAAUUCAAGUACAUGCACUUCACAAAGAUUUUUAUUUAGUACUUGCUGAAAAGAAAAAGAGAGUAAUUUUUUGUCAUUUUUUGCAUAUCCAUUAUCCAUCUAGAAUCGCUUGCUCAGAAAGUUUCAAGUUGGAGUAAUUACAUAGGGCUCUAAAGGUUGUCCUCGGUGUGCAUCUAUCCCUCAUUCCUUUCAUCUUCUUGUGCUAUUUGCAGUUAAUGCUGCUAUGCAUGUAUUGAUAAGUUUUUUUGAUUCACUAACAUGUAGAUUUUGUAUGUUAUCUCGAGUUAUCCAUCCACAAAUUCAAAGCCAAAGCCAACCAAUUCCUAAUGCCUUAGCUGUGGAUCAGCCUCAAGCAGGUCAACAGUAGUUGGUUUGGAAUACUCAGAAUAAUUUUUCCUUCGCUUCCGCCUGGUCAGGCCAGCCCAUUAAUCAAAUAAGUCUGCCUCCACUCCAAAUCAAAUCUCUCUCUCUCUCUCUUCCUUGUUUUCUCUCUUGCCUCUUCCUCUUGGGCAAUUUUCUCUGCAAAUUAUUACACUUUAGUGGACUUUGUCACUCUCUUGCUCUUUAAAUUUUUGACUCUCUUCAACCGUCUCCAUUCCCUAAUGAUGUGUUUGGUAACAUUUCUGUUUCUGAGAACAAUUUUUUUCAGAAAUAGUUUUUUUUUAUUUUUUUUAUUUCUACUCUCCGGAAUAGUUUCUGAGUGAAACAAUGCAUUUGGUAACUGAAAAAAUUUCUAUUAUUAGAAUAGAAAAAGAACAUGAAUGCGUUUAGUAGAACGUACAAGUUUUUUUGUGAUGUAAAAUAUAUUUUAAUUUUUUAAUAUUUUUUGAUAUUUUUGUGAUAUUUUUUUGAUAUUUUUUUGAUAUAUUUUUUUUCCCUCUCUUCUUCUUUCUCCACCAGCCGCUGGCGGGUGGUGAGGAAGAAGAAAAGAACAAAAAGCAAAGAAAGAAAAUAACUUAUUUCUAGAAAUUGUUUCUAAAAAUAAGAAGCUACUUUUUUCUACUUCUGUUACAAAUCUAUUCCCUGACCACUUAGAAAAAUUAACUGACGUUAUUUCUUACCUUUUACCAAAAAUAAAAAAUAAAAAAAAAAUUAACUGACGUUACCAAAUUGAUUUUUGUUCUUUUUCUAUUUUAGAAAGCAAAAGAACAAAAAAACAGAGGAAUAGAAAUGUUCCCAUGAAGAGCCUAAGUAGCCUCAAGCUUUUCUCUAGGGUUUUAGAUCUCUAUCCUUCACAAGCUCUCUCUGUUUGCUCUUCAAUUUUUUUUUCUUGAAGAAAUGCCAGAAGACAUUUUGGGGUUUAGUUAAUUUCCUUUUGUGCUGAUCAGAGUUUAUAUAGUCAUCUCCUCACAUUUCUUGCCAACCUUACUCUUCAUCAUUAUCAGCAGGCAAAGGCAAAAUCUUGAAGACUCCUCUAUCCAUGGCCAGUAUCAACAAUGGACUUCGCCAUCAGAAACGUGCACGAUUACCUCCUUCCAAUCAAAAUGAAACCCAGAAUCCAGUGGAUUACAUCAGCAAAUUGCCCAAUGACAUAAUCGUUCAUAUUUUCUCCUUCUUGACUACAAAAGAUGCCGUCAAAACUAGCGUCUUGUCCAAGCAAUGGCGUUCCA